UAAUACUAUUAAAUAAAAAAUUAAUUAUGUUUUUAUCUUUGUAGGUGUCCUGCAGAACUAAACUUCCAGGACGUCUUCCAACACCAGCUGUGACAAAAAUACAAGUUCCAAAAGAUUUCUCAAAACCACGAGAGUCUCCUAAGACAGUCCCAACGGCUUCGUCUGGCACCAGUAAAUCUGUGCCAACACGAAAGCAAAAGACCAAAGGGAAGAAACGAGUGAAACGAAAGAUAAGAAAGAAAGAUGGAGCUAAAAAAGGUGUAUCGAAGAAACUCGAGGAGAAAGAUUCUUCAAAAACACCUGAGGCUCCUGAACAAGACUCUUCCCCAGACAUGGAACCUCUGCAGGAGCAGAUGACACAAGAGAAGG